UACGUAGGGUGCGAGCGUUAAUCGGAAUUACUGGGCGUAAAGAGUGCGUAGGCGGUUCUUUAAGUCCGCUGUGAAAGCCCCGGGCUUAACCUGGGAAUGGCAGUGGAAACUGGAGGACUUGAAUUGAGCAGAGGGGGGUGGAAUUCCACGUGUAGCAGUGAAAUGCGUAGAGAUGUGGAGGAACACCGAUGGCGAAGGCAGCCCCCUGGGCCAACACUGACGCUCAGGCACGAAAGCGUGGGGAGCAAACAGG
rnacentral:rRNA from 1 species